UACGAACGCUGGCGGCGUGCCUAAUACAUGCAAGUCGAACGCUGAAGAGAGGAGCUUGCUCUUCUUGGAUGAGUUGCGAACGGGUGAGUAACGCGUAGGUAACCUGCCUGGUAGCGGGGGAUAACUAUUGGAAACGAUAGCUAAUACCGCAUAAAAUUGAUUAUUGCAUGAUACUUAAUUGAAAGAUGCUACUGCUUCACUACCAGAAGGACCUGCGUUGUAUUAGCUAGUUGGUGAGGUAACGGCUCACCAAGGCGACGAUACAUAGCCGACCUGAGAGGGGGAUCGGCCACACUGGGACUGGGACACGGCCCAGACUCCUACGGGAGGCAGCAGUAGGGAAUCUUCGGCAAUGGGGGGAACCCUGAACGAGCAACGCCGCGGGAGUGAAGAAGGGUUUCGGAUCGUAAAGAUCUGUUGUAAGAGAAGAACGGAUGUGAGAGUGGAAUGUUCACACUGUGACGGUAUCUUACCAGAAAGGGACGGCUAACUACGUG
rnacentral:rRNA from 1 species